UACGUAGGGCGCAAGCGUUUGUCCGGAAUUAUUGGGCGUAAAGAGCUUCGUAGGCGGUUUGUCGCGUCUGCUGUGAAAACCGGUAGCUCAACCCGUGGCUUGCAGUGGGUACGGGCAGACUAGAGUGUGGUAGGGGAGACUGGAAUUCCUGGUGUAGCGGUGAAAUGCGUAGAUAUCAGGAGGAACACCUGCGGUGUAGACGGCUUACUGGACGGUAACUGGACGCUGAGGCACGAAAGCGUGGGUAGCAAACAGG
rnacentral:rRNA from 1 species